AGGGCAAAAGUACGGCUCGGGAGAGGGGCCUGGGCGUUCUUGUUUGGGCAGGAGGAGGACUUCUCUCUAACUCCACCGAAGACGGCUGACCUGCUGACUUUCCGAGAAGGAUCAGUGCUAGGUUGGGGCACACUUCCCCCAGAGUGGGUGUGUUAUUAUCUGCUGUCUGCGGUCGCCCACUGUGUCAGUGACUGCGUGAAGUAUUUUUGCCUCAGCCACAUCCUCCAGGCAGCUUCGUCAGUAAUAAAGAUGAGACUUCGAUCUCUA